rnacentral:rRNA from 1 species
AAAGUUGAAAAGUACUUUGAAGAGAGAGUAAACAGUGCGUGAAACCGCUCAAAGGUAAACGGGUGGAGUUGAACUGCAAGCUCUGGGAAUUCAACUGGUGAGUGUGAUGUGAGCUUGGCACAUGGUUGUACGUCUGGGUCUGCUUAGCUGCAGGUCCUCGCCUUUGGUGGGGAUGCGCGUAUCACUUAUCAUGUGUUGUGCGCCCGGCCCGUGUCGAAUUAUCUCGCCAGUGCACUUUCUCGGAGUAGUCACCACGACCGGCGUUGCUGUCUUACUGUUGCGGUUAAACCGGCCUUGUAGGGUCCCUGUGAUCUUGCUUGGUCGGGAUGGCAGGUGGCCCGUUGUGUACCUCGGUGCGCUUCGGGUGUAAUAGCUGACUGCAUCGGUUUUGUGCGGUACGUCGGAGACGGCGGCUUGUAGUGCGUGCGUGCGUGCCCAGUGCGCUGGCGGCGCUGAGUCUGGUUGCCAUGUUGCUUGUGAACGCAGGCCUGGCGAUGGCUCGGUGUCGUUCGGUGUGCGGUUGCGUGUGUGGCACUUUAAAGGGCCAAUAGUCUGUGGUGUAGUGGUAGACUAUCCACCUGACCCGUCUU